rnacentral:rRNA from 1 species
GACGAACACUGGCGGCGUGCCUAAUACAUGCAAGUUGAGCGCUGAAGGUUGGUACUUGUACCAACUGGAUGAGCAGCGAACGGGUGAGUAACGCGUGGGGAAUCUGCCUUUGAGCGGGGGACAACAUUUGGAAACGAAUGCUAAUACCGCAUAAAAACUUUAAACACAAGUUUUAAGUUUGAAAGAUGCAAUUGCAUCACUCAAAGAUGAUCCCGCGUUGUAUUAGCUAGUUGGUGAGGUAAAGGCUCACCAAGGCGAUGAUACAUAGCCGACCUGAGAGGGUGAUCGGCCACAUUGGGACUGAGACACGGCCCAAACUCCUACGGGAGGCAGCAGUAGGGAAUCUUCGGCAAUGGACGAAAGUCUGACCGAGCAACGCCGCGUGAGUGAAGAAGGUUUUCGGAUCGUAAAACUCUGUUGGUAGAGAAGAACGUUGGUGAGAGUGGAAAGCUCAUCAAGUGACGGUAACUACCCAGAAAGGGACGGCUAACUACGUG